ensembl:rRNA 5S_rRNA 5S ribosomal RNA
GCUUACGGCCAUACCACCCUGAGCAUGCCCGAUCUCGUCUGAUAUCGGAAGCUAAGCAGGGUCUGGCCUGGUUAGUACUUGGAUGGGUGACCGCCUGGGAAUACCAGGUGCUGUAAGCA